UUACAGCCCCGCCGUGUGCGGGUUAAUUGAGGGUCAUUAACCUGCCCGGCGUGCAGGGUUGGUUUUAGGGUGGAUUUCUUCGGGGGUUUGAUCGCACUUAAUAAAGCCGGCAUUUAAUUAGUUUUAAUUGCUUUGCAGAUUUCACAGCAUAAGCGGCGUGAGCUGCGUUGGGAACAAUGAAAUCCUGCCUUCCCGGUGGCACUGUUCAGCCGGCAUCAUCUGAAUGAGGCUGCAUUCCCGAAGAUGAGGUCCUUUGAGUGACCCCACCACAGCUGGAUGGUGCCAGGACUGGCUGACAGCUUGCAGCCUCUUAUUUUGCUGAAAGCAAUGGAGAAACAGCAGCAGUGUCAAAAUGCCAUGAAGGACUGGCAGCAGCUUGUCAUGGAAGUGGUUUUCAUGGAGCAGUGGGAGCAGCGUUCCUCAACCUGCAGUGCCAUGGUGCACAAAUGAGGGAGGAGACACCCAGAAAUGCGUUGUUAGUGCUCUUUGGGAACAGGAUCUUCUGGAUUCCCUCCAAUCAGUGCUGGACCCAGCCUGUGUUGCAAGACACCUAUCAGCCCUUCAGAGGUGGAGAUGUGUGAAAUGACUGUGCUUUUCCCUAUGUGUGGUUGGGUAUAUUUAAUGGCAUUGAGAUAACUCAAUUUCUGAGCUGUUGGUCCUUUCCUACCACACUGCAGUUAUUAAUGGUACUUUUAAAGUUGUUCUGUCCUACAAAAGCACACCUGGUCUUGGUGACCCAGCCUGUUCACUAAAGGCUUGGGUCAAUCAGAUUGGGCCACAACCAGCACAGGCUAUUGGUGGCAGAUGUGAUGCUUAACUCUCUGCAGAGGAGAGGUCAUGCUCCUCCAAAUUAAGUGAUUCACGGUGCAGUAUCUGAGUGCAUUGCACUGGAGAUACCUCACCAGCCCUGCUCCUGCUUGGCUUGUGAAAUGGGAUCUUAUCACAGUCUGACUACACACAAAGUGGUUAGAAGACAAGCAUGGACUUCAAAUUUGGUCAAAUAACAUCAGCCCAGUGCCACCUGCAAGCCCAUUCAGAUGUUAUGGCAGCCAGAGGAUCCAAUAUCUAGAGGGAAAAGGUGGGAGAUUUUGUUAAGAACAGGCUCAAGACGCUGCUAGUUUGUACAACCAAGGAUUAAAAAGUGCUUCUGUCAUCCCUGGGGCAGGGGUUAAAGACUCUUGUGUAUGCCCAUGCCUGUGUCUCACGUGGUAUGAGCAUGGGAUGUUGUAGUGCUGGGGACUCAGAGAUAUGAGUCAGCUUAUCUGCUCCUGCCUAUAAACAAGGCACUUGGGAUACAGCUUCCCUCCUAUCAGCUUCUGAUAGCAACUUCCUUCCUACCCUCUUUCCCAAGCCAGCACGUGCUAACAUGUUGUGCAACAGAACCGGUUGGACAAGAAAUUCAGAAGUACUCUAGGAGCCCAAGGAUGUGCACUUUAUGCCUUUAAGCAGCAGAGGCUUGCUGGGAAUGGCCCCAGACUGUCAGGUGUGUGCAUUUACCUUCUGGAAACGGGGUAGAAUAAAAGGGCAUCUCUGCCUCUUUCA
rnacentral:lncRNA from 1 species